rnacentral:rRNA from 1 species
GACGAACUCUGGCGUCGUGCUUAACACAUGCAAGUCGAACGGUAAGGCCCCUUCAGGGGUCCGCGUGUGGCGCACGGUUGCGUAACACGUGAGCAACCUGCCCUUGACUCUGGGAUAACAGUUUGAAACAGCUGCUAAUACUGGAUAUUCAUCGUCUCCUUCCUCGGGGGUGGUGGAAACCUCCGGCGGUCAGGGAUGCGCUCGCGGCAUAUCAGCUUGUUGGUGUGGUAAUGGCUCACCAAGGCUUCGACGGGUAGCCGGCCUGAGUGGGCGACCGGCCACACUGGGAGUGAGAUACGGGCCAGACUCCUACGGGAGGCUGCAGUGGGGAAUAUUGCAAAAUGGGCGCAAGCCUGAUGCAGCAACGCCGCGUGCGGGAUGACGGCCUGCGGGUUGUAAACCGCUUUCAGUAGGGACGAAGGGUGACUGACGGUACCUACAGAAGAAGGACCGGCUAACUACGUG